rnacentral:rRNA from 1 species
GACGAACGCUGGCGGCGUGCUUAACACAUGCAAGUCGAACGGAAAGGCCCUGCUUUUGUGGGGUGCUCGAGUGGCGAACGGGUGAGUAACACGUGAGUAACCUGCCCUUGACUUUGGGAUAACUUCAGGAAACUGGGGCUAAUACCGGAUAGGAGCUCCUGCUGCAUGGUGGGGGUUGGAAAGUUUCGGCGGUUGGGGAUGGACUCGCGGCUUAUCAGCUUGUUGGUGGGGUAGUGGCUUACCAAGGCUUUGACGGGUAGCCGGCCUGCGAGGGUGACCGGCCACAUUGGGACUGAGAUACGGCCCAGACUACUACGGGAGGCAGCAGUGGGGAAUAUUGCACAAUGGGCGGAAGCCUGAUGCAGCAACGCCGCGUGCGGGAUGACGGCCUUCGGGUUGUAAACCGCUUUCGCCUGUGACGAAGCGUGAGUGACGGUAAUGGGUAAAGAAGCACCGGCUAACUACGUG